UACACUAAGAUUUCUCAUGAUGUAAGUGGUGGUGCAUGGUCGUUAACUAAGUAGCGACAGUACUUGUGAAAAGCGAGUGCUAGUGGGUGCAGGUCCGUUUUGGCGAGGAUCUGUUGCUUGCGACACUGUCAAAUUGCGGGGAAAUCCAGAGUGGAUCACAGUACCGCCUCAGCACCGAAAGGUCUGGCUGUUGGCACCUUAGGGAAACUUGAGGGUAUGGUAAGAACCUGUGGUCUUGGACUAUCCGCAGCCAAGCUCUAAAGUUGCCCUGGAUUAAGUUCUGGGGUGGCCAUGAGUGCAGUUCAACGACUAGACGGCAGUGGGCGGGCGAGGCUUCCCUACUCUAGGGGGAGGCUUUGCACUGCUUAAGGUAUAGUCUUGCCCCACCGGAAGGUGGCCCUGGGAUAAAGGGGAUAGCCAUCCCCCCGAGCCCAGGGAGAAUAACGUGUUAUUUGGGAAUUACAGUCUUAGUUCGUGGAUUGAUUUGUCUGGUCUAUUCCGAUAACGAGCGAGACCCCAACGUUCCUAAUAGGGGCAACGGCCCGGCCGGUCGCAAGGUCGGUCAGCCGGGGCUUGAGAAUACUUCUUAGACGUAUCGAAGCCGAUAAGGUUUCUGAAAUGGGUUAAUAACAGGUCCGUCAUGCCCUUAGAUGUUCUGGGCCGCACGCGCGUUACAAUGGCUUGAAGAGAAAGUGCCUAUCAAAGGUGUGCCCGAGGCCGAAAGGUCACGGUAACCCUUAAACCCAGCCUUGACUGGGACAGAUCAUUGCAAUUAUUGGUCUCAAACGAGGAAUAAUAGG
rnacentral:rRNA from 1 species